rfam:Acromyrmex echinatior unplaced genomic scaffold scaffold377, whole genome shotgun sequence.
AUAUCGGCCCUUUUUAGGGCCAAUAAAUUCUUAAAACGUGGAAAUCU